CAUCUCAAUGAUGUUUUGUAUUGUUUAUGUUAAAAGUAGCCUGAUUUUGAUGAUAAUUUUAUUUCUGAGAGAUG
rnacentral:snoRNA from 1 species